rnacentral:rRNA from 1 species
UUGGAGGGCAAGUCUGGUGCCAGCAGCCGCGGUAAUUCCAGCUCCAAUAGCGUAUAUUAAAGUUGUUGCAGUUAAAAAGCUCGUAGUUGAAUUUCGGGAUUGACGUGAUGGUCAUGCCUUAAGGGGUAUGAACUGUUACUGUUGAUUUCUCACCUUCUGGAGAAACUUGAUGUCCUUUAUUGGGUGUCUUGCGGAUCCAGGACCUUUACCUUGAAAAAAUUAGAGUGUUUAAAGCAGGCAUUUUUGCUCGAAUACAUUAGCAUGGAAUAAUAGAAUAGGACGGCAUGGUUCUAUUUUGUUGGUUUCUAGGAUCACCGUAAUGAUUAAUAGGGAUAGUUGGGGGCACUAGUAUUCAAUUGUCAGAGGUGAAAUUCUUGGAUUUAUUGAAGACUAACUACUGCGAAAGCAUUUGCCAAGGAUGUUUUCAUUAAUCAAGAACGAAAGUUAGGGGAUCGAAGACGAUCAGAUACCGUCGUAGUCUUAACCAUAAACUAUGCCGACUAGGAAUCAGACGAUGUUAAUUUUUUAAUGACUCGUUUGGCACCUUACGGGAAACCAAAGUGUUUGGGUUC